AGUACGAUUGCGCGAAUUGGUAAAUAUAACUCCGCACGACCACGCAACUCGAAACACAAGUACGCAAACACGGUUGCGUGAAACGUGGCUCGCAAUCGUGAAAUUUACAAGACUUGCUCGACCUGUAGAUUCUUGUUAAGUAUAUUGGUAUCACUGAUGGAACAUACUAUAUACGCCACCUAGUGAGAGAUAUCUUUUGGGGGUUCUGAAAAUUUGACAAGGCGGUCCUGCUUCCUGCUUUACUCUUUACUUUACUUGACUGUGAAAGUGCGCUGGAAGUAGGUCGACGAACUUUUGGUUCCAUAAUGGCGGAAGGUUUCAUUUUUUAAGUAAUUUAUUGGGAAAUACAUUUUAAUUGUAAGUGUAAAUGGUGUCCCAUGGGUUUGCUAAAUCCAUCCAGCGUGUUCGUGAGGAAAACAAUAACCAAUAAAGGAGAUUCCGCCAUUUGGGAGAAAUAUUAAAACCUACCAUGUAGAUCCUUCAACCACCUGGAAGGCGUCGAUUCCAGCCACGGCCACACUCAAGUCAUCAUGGAAGUAUGUCGAUUUGAGAGCAAGCUAUGGGACAUUCCAGUCCCAUUUUUGUCAUCUUUCUACCUGCACCUACAGGAAACAUGGUUUAGCACCUCCUCUGGUGCUAAUUUUAUGGAUUGUAGCAUCAGACUUUACUUUGAAGUCUUUCAAUGAAGGGACUGGUUUGGGAACAUUUAAAGUUUGUGGUUUGAGUAAUUAUUGUGCUUAUAUUUCAGACAUUUGGUUGACGUAUUAUGUUAUUAAUUAUUUGGUUUCAGAUCUAGUUAUCUUUGUUUUUUAUUUGACAUAUUUCCUUCUGUGCACAAGGUAAUCAGGCCUAGAAAAUUAGGUUUUUAUAUUUUAUUAUUGGUUUGAUAUUUAUUUUGUAAUAUUACUUGCUUGUUUCCCAAAUAUUUAUUUGUUAUUCGCUUUAUUCCAUUUGUUCGGUUAAUUUAGGUCAUCGUUUCGGUAUUUAUCUUAGCUUCAUUUCUAUAACUUUUAUUAAUUAAUUUUGCUUAAUUCAUCAUUGUAUUUUCUCUUCGUCAGGCUUGUACCUAUUUAUUUAUAUUACUUUUAAUAUUUGUCGGUUUUAAUUUAGUUGUACGUAGCAGGCGUACUAUAAGCAUUUGGUAGAAAUCUCAUGUGAGUUGUAUCCUAUAUGUAAGAGGUACUUAUAGAAGUUUGUAACCGGUAAUAUUAUUGUUGUUAACUCAAAUAUAACUUGUGUAUAACUUAUGUCAUUUUAGAGUCACAUGAUAUGCACUUUGUGUAACUCAAAGAUUGUCAAAAAUCUAGGUAGUUAUUUUUAAUAAAUAUUUAUUUAUUUUGUA